rnacentral:lncRNA from 1 species
AAGUGGUGACCCUUACACUCUUCAUACCAAUGUAUUUACAAAUGGCAAAGGUGACAGAGAGCAACAAUUUCACCUCUGGUUUGACCCCACUGCUGACUUUCACACCUAUUCUAUCCUCUGGAAUCCUCAGCGCAUUAUGUAAGCAAUAUUUUCCUUCAAUCUCCAUCGUUUGUUUUUUCCUUGUCGUUCAAUCUGCUUAGACUUAUCAAUGUUUACUUAAUUUUCAGCUUCUCUGUUGAUGGCACCCCAAUAAGAGAAUUUAAGAACUCAGAGUCAAUUGGCGUUCCAUUCCCAAAGAAUCAGCCAAUGAGAAUAUACUCUUCUCUUUGGAAUGCUGAUGACUGGGCCACAAGAGGUGGCCUCGUGAAGACAGAUUGGACGCAUGCUCCUUUCACUGCUUCCUACAGAAACUUUAAUGCUGAAGCUUGUGUUUGGUCUAAUGGAAAAUCUUCUUGCGCUUCAAAUUCUGCUUCCUCUACAUCCAGCAACGGUGCUUGGUUCUCACAAGAGCUAGAUUCAACAAAUCAAAAUAGGCUGAAAUGGGUGCAGAAGAAUUACAUGAUUUACAAUUACUGCACUGAUACAAAGAGAUUUCCUCAGGGCCUUCCUGCAGAAUGCAGAAUCUCCUAGAGAAAAUAAUCAACAAGACACUUAAAAAUUAUUUUAUUCUUUCGUGUAAUCAUUCAAUGGUUAUUCAAUUCAUGUAGAUUCUGGAGUCAGAUUCUUUGUUUCUCUGUAAUCAAUAAAAUGGCAUGUUAGUCCAAUUUUUACCAUAUGUAACACUGGUUAAUGAAUUUAAAAAAGGAUAAUGUUAUGCGUACUUGCGUGGUAUACAAAUUAAGUAUGCUAACUAAGUAAACAUAAUAUUACUAUUUCAAAAGAUUUUGUUCUUCUUUGUUGUUAUUCUUCGUAAGCUUUAGCAUAUAGUUAUAAGCCUAAUUAAAGGUAUUGACAUGAUGACUCAUUAAUAAAGCUUUUAGACCCUAGAUUGGAAUAUGAAGAAUUAUCGAGGAAGCAUGAAGAUAAAAGAGCAAAUGAGUCUCCACCAGAAUGAGAAGAAAAUGUACUGCGCGUGGGCGUUACCGUAUUUGUGUCAAUCGAGGAGAAAUUUUGGCCAUUGAUUAGUAUUUGAUAAGGCAGUAAAAGGGUAAAAUGGCAAAAAUAAAAUUAAAAAAACUAACCGAGUGAACUUACACAAGUCGAUGAGGAAGAGUGAUGCAUACCGUUAUUGGAUGAGGAAUGUGCUUGUUAAUUAACAAUGAGAGAUUGAUAGGAGGACAAGGUGCGAGCCAGCUCUCGAGUGUUGAUAUUUCAAGGCGAGCCAACCUCGCCAUGCCACCACCGCCUUUCCAGUUAAACAAAUAAAACAUUCUCUAGUAUAAGUGGUAGUAUACAAAACAGCAAAAUCUUCAGUCCGUUCGAUUUAAAUACCAAUAUCUAUAAAUUCCUUAAUAAUAAUAAUAAGCAUAUCUUCCAAUUCCAUAUGCGUUUUAUUACACAGGAAAUCACCAGGAAGUAUGUGUUAUCAAUUAACCUAAAAUUAGGAUACAAAUUCACAGUUUCAUGUUACUAGGAAGCAUCUGUAUCGGAAAUAUAGGGAUACAUAUUUCUUAGAUGUUAGAUCCAUGUUUCAUGUUAGGGACUCCAGUAAAGACUUGUCUUUAAUUUUCUUGGGUCAAGCCAUUUUCGUUUUUACAUAGCAAAGGUUUCUUGUUCAAAUCUCAGCGUGCUCAAUUUUUUGCGAAUAACACACGUAUAUGUUUCAAUUCUUGUAUGUUCAAGAACCUCUAAUUCAAUCUCCUAUCUCCGCUUUUGGAACGACAUGACCUUCAAACUGGAUCCAUGUUUCACACGGGCAGGUCUUUCAACACUUUAAUGCUAUUUUCUGGACUCCUGUUUAACGUCUUAAGCUUUUGAACCAAAUGAUUUCCUGAUAAUAAAUAUAGUUAUAAAAAAAAAUCUGUUAAUUAAGUACGUCAUUGAACAAUUUUUUUUCUUUUUCUUUUGAGCAUAAAAUGGAAAAAAAAAAUCUCGAGAGAGAAGAGCACCCAGUGAAUUCUACAUUUUCUUUUUUGUGUUUUGACUGGCGGUGGUUGGAAAAAAAAAAAAAUCUAAUAAGAGUCAGCCGGUGGUGGGAACAGAACAGCAGUACAUAAUAAGUACUUGAGUCUCAAAAGUAAUGCAAAGCCGCGUAUUGUAAUAAAAAAAAAAGUCCCUGUUGUAGCGUGUUCUGUUAGUGCGAUUCGGACAGCUGUUUUUAUUUCAUCACGCUAUUUUACGCAAACAACUGGCCACAGCUGAAGCUGAACUAACUGGAGCUUCCCAUUACUUUCCUCUGCUUUCGUUAUACUCACCUUCACCAGCUCAAUCAAGCUAUAAAUACCAAACCCUGGUGAGAUCCCAAACACACUCAUCGCUUCACUUUCAAAAAUUUCAAACUUCUCUCCAACUCAAAUUCUUCUAUCUUGUUGUUGCUCAGACGAAAGCUUCCAUGGCUUCAGUAUUGCAUCUGUCGCUGCUGCUUCUUGGCUCUUUGAUGGUUGCCUCUGCUGGUAACUUCCACCAAGAUUUUGAUAUCACUUGGGGAGACGGGCGUGCUAAUAUACUCAACAACGGCCAGCUUCUUACUCUUUCCCUUGAUAAAGCCUCUGGCUCCGGCUUCCAGUCCAAGAAUGAGUAUCUAUUCGGCAAGAUUGAUAUGCAACUCAAACUAGUCCCUGGCAACUCUGCCGGCACUGUCACUGCUUAUUAUGUAAGUUCCUGCCUUUAUAUGAAUAAACAAUAUGCAUGUUUGAUCAUCACCCUUUAUAUGAAUAAACAAUAUGCAUGUUUGAUCAUCAUGUAUCUGACAUAUAGACCUUUGAUUUUUUGUUCACGCAGUUAAAAUCGCCAGGAUCAACAUGGGAUGAGAUAGACUUCGAGUUCUUGGGGAAUUUAAGUGGUGACCCUUACACUCUGCAUACCAAUGUAUUCACAAAUGGCAAAGGUGACAAAGAACAACAAUUUCACCUCUGGUUUGACCCCACUGCUGACUUUCACACCUAUUCUAUCCUCUGGAAUCCUCAGCGCAUUGUGUAAGCAAUAUUUUCCUUCAAUCUCCAUCAUUUCUUCUUUCCUUGUCAUUCAAUCUGCUUAGACUUAUCAAUGUUUACUUAAUUUUCAGCUUCUCUGUGGAUGGUACUCCCAUAAGAGAGUUCAAGAACUCAGAGUCAAUUGGAGUUGCAUUCCCAAAGAAUCAGCCAAU